GGGGAAUCUUCCGCAAUGGGCGAAAGCCUGACGGAGCAACGCCGCGUGAGUGAAGACGGCCUUCGGGUUGUAAAGCUCUGUUAUACGGGACGAAAAAUCUUGUGGUUAAUACCCAUAAGAAGUGACGGUACCGUAAGAGAAAGCCACGGCUAACUACGUGCCAGCAGCCGCGGUAAUACGUAGGUGGCAAGCGUUGUCCGGAAUUAUUGGGCGUAAAGGGCGCGCAGGCGGCUUCUUAAGUCUGUCUUAAAAGUGCGGGGCUUAACCCCGUGAUGGGAUGGAAACUGGGAAGCUCAGAGUAUCGGAGAGGAAAGCGGAAUUCCUAGUGUAGCGGUGAAAUGCGUAGAUAUUAGGAAGAACACCAGUGGCGAAGGCGACUUUCUGGACGAAAACUGACGCUGAGGCGCGAAAGCCAGGGGAGCGAACGGGAUUAGAUACCCCGGUAGUCCUGGCCGUAAACGAUGGGUACUAGGUGUAGGAGGUAUCGACCCCUUCUGUGCCGGAGUUAACGCAAUAAGUACCCCGCCUGGGGAGUACGACCGCAAGGUUG
rnacentral:rRNA from 1 species